AAGUGGUCUGAACGGGUGGAGUACACGUGGGCAAUCUGCCCUGCACUCUGGGACAAGCCCUGAGAAACGGGGUCUAAUACCGGAUACUGAUCGCCUUGGGCAUCCUUGGUGAUCGAAAGCUCCGGAGGUGCAGGAUGAGCCCGCGGCCUAUCACCUUGUUGGUGAGGUAAUGGCUCAGCAAGGCCACGACGGCUAGCCGGCCUGAGAGGGCGACCGGCCACACUGGGACUGAGACACGGCCCAGACUCCUACGGAGGCAGCAGUGGGGAAUAUUACACAAUGGGCGAAGCCUGAAUGCAGCAACGCCGCGUGAGGGAUGACGGCCUUCGGGUGGUAAACCUCUUUCGCCAGGGAAGAAGCGAAAGUGACGGUACCUGCACAAGAAGCGCCGGCUAACUACGUGCCAGCAGCCGCGGUAAUACGUAGGCGCGAGCGUUGUCCGGAAUUAUUGGCGUAAAGAGCUCGUAGGCGGCUUGUCGCGUCGGUUGUGAAAGCCCGGGGCUUAACCCCGGGUCUGCAGUCGAUACGGGCAGGCUAGAGUUCGGUAGGGGAGAUCGGAAUUCCUGGUGUAGCGGUGAAAUGCGCAGAUAUCAGGAGGAACACCGAUGGCGAAGGCGAUCUCUGGGCCGAUACUGACGCUGAGGAGCGAAAGCGUGAGGAGCGAACAGGAUUAGAUACCCUGGUAGUCCACGCCGUAAACGGUGGGCACUAGGUGUGGGCGACAUUCCACGUCUUCCGUGCCGCAGCUAACGCAUUAAGUGCCCCGCCUGGGGAGUACGGCCGCAAGGCUAAAACUCAAAGGAAUUGACGGGGGCCCGCACAAGCGGCGGAGCAUGUGGCUUAAUUUAUGCAACGCGAAGAACCUUACCAAGGCUUGACAUACACCUGAAACGUCCAGAGAUGGGCGCCCCCUUGUGGUCGGUGUACAGGUGCUGCAUGGCCGUCGUCAGCUCGUGUCGUGAGAUGUUGGGUUAAGUCCCGCAACGAGCGCAACCCUUGUCCUGUGUUGCCAGCAGGCCCUUGUGGUGCUGGGGACUCACGGGAGACCGCCGGGGUCAACUCGGAGGAAGGUGGGGAUGACGUCAAGUCAUCAUGCCCCUUAUGUCUUGGGCUGCACACGUGCUACAAUGGCCGGUACAAAGAGCUGCGAUACCGUGAGGUGGAGCGAAUCUCAAAAAGCCGGUCUCAGUUCGGAUUGGGGUCUGCAACUCGACCCCAUGAAGUCGGAGUCGCUAGUAUCGCAGAUCAGCAUGU
rnacentral:rRNA from 1 species